GUGUGUUUGAAUGCAUUGGAUCAUUGGUAUCAUGCUUAUACAAUUUUGUUUGUGGUGAGUUGGAAUACAUUGGAUCAUUGGUAGCAUGCUUAUACAAUUUUGUUUGUGAUAUGUUGGAACACAUUGAAUCAUUGGUAACACGUUUAUAUAAUUUUGUUUGUGGUGUAUUGGAACGCGUUGGAUGA